rnacentral:rRNA from 1 species
ACGGGUGAGUAACGCGUAGGAAUCUGCCUUUUAGUGGAGAAUACUCUCGAGAAAUCGAGCUUAAUACUGCAUACGUCUUGAAAAAGAGAAAGAUGGCCUCUUUGCUGUCGCUAAAAGAUGAGCCUGCGUACUAUUAGCUAGUUGGUAGGGUAAAGGCCUACCAAGGCGAUGAUGGUUAGCCGGCCUGAGAGGGUGUACGGCCACACUGGAACUUAGACACGGUCCAGACUCCUACGGGAGGCAGCAGUGAGGAAUAUUGCGCAAUGGGCGAAAGCCUGACGCAGCGACGCCGCGUGGAGGAUGAAGGUCUUAGGAUUGUAAACUUCUGUUAAGCGGGAAGAAAGAUAGGGUUUAAAUACAGCUCUAUUAUGACGGUACCGCUAGAGAAAGCACCGGCUAACUUCGUGCCAGCAGCCGCGGUAAUACGAAGGGUGCGAGCGUUAUUCGGAAUUAUUGGGCGUAAAGGGUGCGUAGGCGGCGUGUUAAGUCAACUGUUAAAGACCUCGGCCUAACUGGGGAUCGGCGGUAGAUACUGGCAUGCUAGAGGGUGGAAGAGAGAAGUGGAAUUCUUGGAGUAGCGGUAAAA